rnacentral:rRNA from 1 species
CCUACGGGUGGCAGCAGUGAGGAAUAUUGGUCAAUGGACGAGAGUCUGAACCAGCCAAGUAGCGUGAAGGAUGACUGCCCUAUGGGUUGUAAACUUCUUUUAUAUGGGAAUAAAAUGUUCCACGUGUGGGAUUUUGUAUGUACCAUAUGAAUAAGGAUCGGCUAACUCCGUGCCAGCAGCCGCGGUAAUACGGAGGAUCCGAGCGUUAUCCGGAUUUAUUGGGUUUAAAGGGAGCGUAGGUGGAUUGUUAAGUCAGUUGUGAAAGUUUGCGGCUCAACCGUAAAAUUGCAGUUGAGACUGGCAGUCUUGAGUACAGUAGAGGUGGGCGGAAUUCGUGGUGUAGCGGUGAAAUGCUUAGACAUCACGAAGAACUCCGAUUGCGAAGGCAGUUCACUGGACUGCAACUGACACUGAGGCUCGAAAGUGUGGGUAUCAAACAGGAUUAGAUACCCUUGUAGUC